UACAGAGGGGGCCAGCGUUAUUCGGAAUUAUUGGGCGUAAAGGGCGCGUAGGCGGCUUUGCGUGUCUUUCGUGAAAUCCCUCGGCUCAACUGAGGACGUGCGGAAGAAACUGCAGGGCUGGAGUCCGGGAGAGGAGGGUGGAAUUCCCAGUGUAGCGGUGAAAUGCGUAGAUAUUGGGAAGAACACCGGUGGCGAAGGCGGCGACCUGGUCCUUGACUGACGCUGAGGCGCGAAAGCGUGGGGAGCAAACAGG
rnacentral:rRNA from 1 species